CCGAGGGCUCAGGCGCAGUGGUGAGGGAGGGUGGCAACAACGUGGUUCGCACCACUCCGAGGCGACACUGAGGAGGCGCGUGAUUCCAGUUCAGCUUACGGUUGAGCUUACGGUUCAAUUUACGGGAUCUCUCACAGCACUGGACCUGGAGCAGCAGUCCUGCUCUGGGGGAGGAAGAACAAAAUUCAUGGCACAGCUGUACCAGGUAUUGGAGGCUGGCAAGAUCAGGAUAUUCGAGAGUUCCAUUGGCAUGGUGAAUCUGCUUGACAUGGGGCAGUGUCUGAAAACUUGAAGGCAGUCUUGCUGGCUUCCACUCCUCACCUCCACAGGGAAAGUCCUUAAGUCACAUCUGCAGGGCCCUGUCCUGGCUCCAUGACUUUGAGCAGAAGAAACAGCAAGAAGAGGCCCACUGUCUC
rnacentral:lncRNA from 1 species